GACGAACGCUGGCGGCGUGCUUAACACAUGCAAGUCGAACGGAAAGGCCCUGCUUUUGUGGGGUGCUCGAGUGGCGAACGGGUGAGUAACACGUGAGUAACCUGCCCUUGACUUUGGGAUAACUUCAGGAAACUGGGGCUAAUACCGGAUAGGAGCUCCUGCUGCAUGGUGGGGGUUGGAAAGUUUCGGCGGUUGGGGAUGGACUCGCGGCUUAUCAGCUUGUUGGUGGGGUAGUGGCUUACCAAGGCUUUGACGGGUAGCCGGCCUGACAGGGUGACCGGCCACAUUGGGACUGAGAUACGGCCCAGACUCCUACGGGAGGCAGCAGUGGGGAAUAUUGCACAAUGGGCGGAAGCCUGAUGCAGCAACGCCGCGUGCGGGAUGACGGCCUUCGGGAUGUAAACCGCUUUCGCCUGUGACGAAGCGUGAGUGACGGUAAUGGGUAAAGAAGCACCGGCUAACUACGUG
rnacentral:rRNA from 1 species